GCGGUUGUAGUCUAGCGGUUAGGACCUGAGCUUCCCGAGCUCAUGACCCGGGUUCAAAUCCCGGCAACCGCA
rnacentral:tRNA from 1 species